GUUUUCUUUUGGGUUUUUUUUGUUGCUGUUUUCAAAUAGGUGGUUCACAGGUUUUCCAUUCCAAGUGUAAGCUUUAUCCCACAAAAGCUAAGUCUUAGCAGAGAUAUACACUAGUGUGGGUGAAAGUGUUAUUCGUGAAGUCUACACAUCUGAAAGACUAGGAGGUUACCAGAACUGGGUAAGAAGAAUGACACAGACAGUGUUCACCAUCAUAGGUUCAAAGGAUCCAUCA
rnacentral:lncRNA from 1 species